AACUCGCUGGAUGGUGACAAUAGAAGCGCAUGUAAAGGGCAUUAUGUCGAGGACAGCGAAAUGAUCAUGUUCAUUUUUAUAUAUUGAACGGUAAGUCGAUAUAUCAAUUUUUGCGGCAGGUCUAGUAGUAGGUAUAACUGACAUGAGCACAUAAGUACUGUAGUAAGAUGUAGGGAGCAAUGUUCCUGCUAUAACAGUUGUAUUAUCUGUUGUCUGAAAAGGGUCUCUUAAUAGUACGAUUAUAACUGUUUAGUAGACUGUUUAUAAGUAUAACUGUUAUAGAUUGUGUGAAAUAUGACCACAAUAACUACAAGUUAAAGCAUUAACAUUCAGAGACACGCCUGCUGCACCCUUAGAAGCAA